AGUGAACGCUGGCGGUAGGCCUAACACAUGCAAGUCGAACGGCAGCACAGUAAGAGCUUGCUCUUACGGGUGGCGAGUGGCGGACGGGUGAGGAAUACAUCGGAAUCUACUUUUUCGUGGGGGAUAACGGAGGGAAACUUACGCUAAUACCGCAUACGACCUACGGGUGAAAGCAGUGGAUCUUCGGACCUUUCGCGAUUGAAUGAGCCGAUGUCGGAUUGGCUAGUUGGCGGGGUAAAGGCCCAACAAGGCGACGAUCCGUAGCGGGUCUGAGAGGAUGAUCAGCAACACUGGAACUGAGACACGGUCCAGACUCCUACGGGAGGCAGCAGUGGGGAAUAUUGGACAAUGGGCGCAAGCCUGAUCCAGCCAUACCGCGUGGGUGAAGAAGGCCUUCGGGUUGUAAAGCCCUUUUGUUGGGAAAGAAAAGCAGCAGGUUAAUACCCCGCUGUUCUGACGGUACCAAAAGAAUAAGCACCGGCUAACUUCGU
rnacentral:rRNA from 1 species